CGUGCUCAGCGCCAGGGCCGGCGGAGUCAGCGGGGACCGAGCGGGGGCUCCCCGGCGGCAGCGGGGGGGGCUCAGCGUGCUGUCGGCUACCGGGGAGAGGGGGGAAAACGGGGGCGGCCGUGCACCGGGCAUCCCACGCACCGGGGAGCCCCGUGCACCGGGGAGGGGGGGGGGUCCCCCCGACCCCCCCCCCCCCCCCCCCCCAGCCCCGGGAACCGGCAGCUCCCUGCUCGCAGCCCGCGCCAGGCCCCGCGCACCGGAGGGGGGGGGGGCCCCGCUCGGCGGCGACACUCACCGCUGGCCCGGCACUCCUGCAAGCGAACGGACGGCCAUCAGCUCGCCUCGCCCCAGCUCCUUUCCCCCCCCCUUCUCCCUCCCUCCUCCCGGUGCCCCGGUGCUCACGAAGUUGGCGGAGACCCGCAGGCGGGGCACGGCGGCACCGGCGGGCGGCACCGGCGGCACCGACAGCAGCAGCAGCAGCAGCAGCAGGACGGUGGCACCGAGCAGAGGGAACCCCAUAGCCGAGAGCUGCUCCCCCCGGUGCCGGUGCUCGGUCCCCGGUGCUCGGUGCCCGCCCCGGGCCGGCCCCGCCGCAUUCCUCCGUUGGCACGUGCGGCCCCGCCCGGAGUCCAGCAGCUUCUUGCUGUAGUAGAGCUGCCAGCCGUGCACCUGGGCGGCCACCACCACCACCAGGUACAUGACGGAGACGGCGGAGAAGCCGAAGAUGAAGCGGUACGCCUUGCCGUGCCGGUACAGCUGCUGCGCCAUGGGGAACAUCUCCAUGGCCCCGUAGAUGAGGGGAGCCACCGAGAAGAGCCCGGUGCUGAUCAUGGACAGCACCAGGUAGCUGAUGUUGUUGCGGGGGAAGGAGAGGAGGCCCAGGAGGGAGGGCAGGAUGCUGAGCAGGUAGGGGUACUCCCACUGGUAGGGCAUGGCCACCCGGUCGUGGGGCAGCAGCUUGAGGUGCCCCACGCACAUCUGCGCCAGCAGCAGCAGCCACAGC
rnacentral:lncRNA from 1 species